AGCUGGAUAGCUCGGUUGGUUAGAGUGUGGUGCUAAUAACGCCAAGGUUGCAGGUUUGACCUUCCAACUCGAUGAUUUUGCUA